AACAUACUCCCUCCGUCUCAAAAUUCUUGUCUUAGGUUUGUCUACAAAUGAAUGUAUCGUGACUAGAUACAUUCAUAUCUAGAUAAAUCUAAGACAAGAAUUUUGAAACGGAGGAAGUAAAAC
rfam:Hordeum vulgare subsp. vulgare, WGS project CAJW01000000 data, contig: morex_contig_60143